UUUUUAUUUUUAAAAGACCUAGCAAUAGGUAUGCUUAGGGAAGAGCUUGCGUCACAUUAGUUAGUUGGUGGGGUAAUGGCCUACCAAGACGAUGAUGUGUAGCCGGGCUGAGAGGUCGAACGGCCACAUUGGGACUGAGACACGGCCCAAACUCCUACGGGAGGCAGCAGUAAGGAAUUUUCGGCAAUGGAGGAAACUCUGACCGAGCAAUGCCGCGUGAACGAUGAAGUAUUUCGGUACGUAAAGUUCUUUUAUUAGGGAAGAAAAGAUGGUGGAAAAACCAUUAUGACGGUACCUAAUGAAUAAGCCCCGGCUAACUAUGUGCCAGCAGCCGCGGUAAUACAUAGGGGGCAAGCGUUAUCCGGAAUUAUUGGGCGUAAAGGGUGCGUAGGCGGUUAAAUAAGUUUAUGGUCUAAGUGCAACGCUCAACGUUGUGAUGCUAUAAAAACUGUUUAGCUAGAGUUGGAUAGAGGCAAGUGGAAUUCCGUGUGUAGUGGUAAAAUGCGUAAAUAUACGGAGGAACACCAGAAGCGAAGGCGGCUUGCUGGGUCUUAACUGACGCUGAGGCACGAAAGCGUGGGGAGCAAACAGGAUUAGAUACCCUGGUAGUCCACGCCCUAAACGAUGAGUACUAAACGUUGGAUAAAACCAGUGUUGAAGUUAACACAUUAAGUACUCCGCCUGAGUAGUACGUACGCAAGUAUGAAACUUAAAGGAAUUGACGGGACUCCGCACAAGCGGUGGAUCAUGUUGUUUAAUUCGAAGGUACCCGAAAAACCUCACCAGGUCUUGACAUGCUUUUGCAAAGCUGUAGAAAUACAGUGGAGGUUAUCAGAAGCACAGGUGGUGCAUGGUUGUCGUCAGCUCGUGUCGUGAGAUGUUGGGUUAAGUCCCGCAACGAGCGCAACCCUUGUUGUUAAUUGCCAUCAUUAAGUUGGGGACUUUAGCAAGACUGCCAAUGAUAAAUUGGAGGAAGGUGGGGACGACGUCAAAUCAUCAUGCCCCUUAUGACCUGGGCUACAAACGUGAUACAAUGGCUGUUACAAAGGGUAGGUAAAGGGUAAGCUUUUGGCGAAUUUCAAAAAAGCAGUUUUUGUUUGGAAUGAAGUUUGCAACUUGACUUCAUGAAGUUGGAAUCGCUAGUAAUCGCGAAUCAGCAUGUCGCGGUGAAUACGUUCUCGGGGUUUGUACACACCGCCCGUCAAACCACGAAAGUUGGCAAUACCCAAAGCCGGUGGCCUAACUUGAGCAAUCAAGAAGGAGCCGUCUAAGGUAGGGUUGAUGAUUGGGGUUAAGUCGUAACAAGGUAUCCCUACCGGAAGGUGGGGAUGGAUCACCUCCUUUCU
rnacentral:rRNA from 1 species